GCCCGGGUAGCUCAGUGGUAGAGCAGUGGAUUGAAAAUCCUCGUGUCGGUGGUUCGACUCCGCCCCUGGGCACCA
rnacentral:tRNA from 1 species